rnacentral:rRNA from 1 species
UACGUAGGGGGCGAGCGUUGUCCGGAGUUACUGGGCGUAAAGCGCUUGUAGGCGGUCCACCAAGUUUGGGGUGACAGUUGCCGACUUAAUCGGCAAAGUGCCUCAAAGACUGGCGGACUUGAGGGCCACAGAGGGACAUGGAACUCCAGGUGUAGUGGUGAAAUGCGUAGAUAUCGGAAGGAACACCUGUGGCGAAAGCGGCUCACUGGACCACAACUGACGCUGAGGCACGAAAGCUAGGGGAGCAAACAGG